GAUGAAGAACGCAGCGAAAUGCGAUACGUAAUGUGAAUUGCAGAAUUCAGUGAAUCAUCGAGUCUUUGAACGCACAUUGCGCCCCCUGGUAUUCCGGGGGGCAUGCCUGUCCGAGCGUCAUUGCUGCCCUCAAGCCCGGCUUGUGUGUUGGGUCUCGUCCCCCUUCCCGGGGGGACGGGCCCGAAAGGCAGCGGCGGCACCGUGUCCGGUCCUGGAGCGUAUGGGGCUUUGUCACCCGCUCUGUAGGCCCGGCCGGCGCUUGCCGAUCAACCAAAACUUUUUUCCAGGUUGACCUCGGAUCAGGUAGGGAUACCCGCUGAACUUAAGCAUAUCAAUAAGCGGAGGA
rnacentral:misc_RNA from 1 species